GUGGGGAAUAUUCCGCAAUGGACGAAAGUCUGACGGAGCAACGCCGCGUGAGUGAUGAAGGUUUUCGGACUGUAAAGCUCUGUUGUUUGGGACGAAAGUGCCUGUUGCGAACAGUUACGGGUAUUGACGGUACUAAACGAGGAAGCCACGGCUAACUACGUGCCAGCAGCCGCGGUAAUACGUAGGUGGCAAGCGUUGUCCGGAAUUAUUGGGCGUAAAGAGCAUGUAGGCGGGAAUCUAAGUCUGUUGUUAAAAUGCGGGGCUCAACCCCGUAUUGCGAUGGAAACUGGGUUUCUUGAGUGCAGGAGAGGAAAGGGGAAUUCCCAGUGUAGCGGUGAAAUGCGUAGAUAUUGGGAGGAACACCAGUGGCGAAGGCGCCUUUCUGGACUGUGUCUGACGCUGAGAUGCGAAAGCCAGGGUAGCGAACGGGAUUAGAAACCCUAGUAGUCC
rnacentral:rRNA from 1 species